AGAGUUUGAUCCUGGCUCAGGACGAACGCUGGCGGCGUGCUUAACACAUGCAAGUCGAACGGAAAGGCCCCUUCGGGGGUGCUCGAGUGGCGAACGGGUGAGUAACACGUGGGUGAUCUGCCCUGCACUUCGGGAUAAGCUUGGGAAACUGGGUCUAAUACCGGAUAGGACCACGGCCUGCAUGGGUUGUGGUGGAAAGCUUUUGCGGUGUGGGAUGGGCCCGCGGCCUAUCAGCUUGUUGGUGGGGUGAUGGCCUACCAAGGCGACGACGGGUAGCCGGCCUGAGAGGGUGUCCGGCCACACUGGGACUGAGAUACGGCCCAGACUCCUACGGGAGGCAGCAGUGGGGAAUAUUGCACAAUGGGCGCAAGCCUGAUGCAGCGACGCCGCGUGGGGGAUGACGGCCUUCGGGUUGUAAACCUCUUUCACCAUCGACGA
rnacentral:rRNA from 1 species